rnacentral:lncRNA from 1 species
UGAAUGCAUAACAAUACUGUUUAUACUAUAAAUAUGAGUCCGGCUCUGGUGCUUGUAAAAGCACCAAACACUUGUGCUUGUAAAUUUUUUACCAUUAGAUCUACUCUUAUGAUUUUUUUUUUUAAGAAAAAUGUAGCAAGUUACCUGCUUUAUUCAUUAAGGAAAAUGAACUAGGUGUACACGGUGGAGGUAGCUGGGCCUCCGGGGAAAAAGAGGAAAGUAAUGAAAGGGAGAUUAAAAGAGCAAGAACAAAAAAUCAAAGAGAAGAGAAAAACAAAAAGAGGAAAACGUAAAACGAGUAAGGCGUAGAGUGAAAAGGAGCAUGGAACCCAGGUGAUCAAAGGUGCUCGGUCCAGUCUCGCAACAAAAGUUUCAGUCGUUUGGAUGACCGAUUGACGUUGUGUGGCUUGGCUUGAAAAAUGAUGCUAUUUCUGUCUCUCCACACGACCCACCAAAUUCCAGCUAAGCAGAUGAGACCUUUCGAUCUCAAAGCAGCGUCGGUGAUGUUGCCAGUUUUGGUCCAUAGUUGCGGACAUCCCCAAGGUCGUCAACUGGAAUAUCCUGUCCCGCUGUGGUAAGUAGAAGGUAACGAACGAAGACGCAUUUAGAGAAUAGAUGGUCGCAAUUUUUCAUGGGAAAAGUGUAGAAGACAUAAUGUUGAUCCACUCUCUUCUGAUCAUUUUCAACCGUUAGAUUAUACUAUUCAAUCAAUCACCCACUCAAUUCUAGGGGGGCCCACAUCAUCCUAAUCGUAUAUUUCUUAAUUCAAUGACUAAAACUCUAUAAAUAUUAAUAACUCGAUAUUUUUAAAAGUAUAG